UAGCACUGGCCAGGUUCACCAUAGUUCUGAGAAUCAAGGGCAAUUCCAGAAAAAGGGCUGUUAUUGGGAACUGGGCAGCCACCCUGCCCUAACCCUCAUCCUCCUCCAAAGAGACCACCAUGGGCUUCACAGGCCUCAAGGUCAGUGCUGACGAUGUCUCCUCUAGACCUGACACCCUGGAAACCUUCAGUUUACUCGGGCACCUGCAGCCCAGGUCAGGGGCCAUAACACAUGAUGGGCAUCGAU
rnacentral:lncRNA from 1 species